UGCCCAAUGUGGCCUUUGCUGCACUCUUCCCCUGAGGCCUCCCGCUCCUCAGAUCUCAGCUGAAUCACCGCCUCUCAGGGCCUGGACCCAACCACUGAGACAAUCCACCAGCAGCUCCGCAAACCCCCAUCCAUGGGCCUGGCCUGCAAAUGGAAAAGACAGAGCUGCAGAGAGCCCCAGAAGUCCCAUGGGCCAGCUCCCGGCCCCAGGCCCCCUGCCUACCGGACAUCUUUGUCGAUCUGCAACAGCACCUCGUUGUCCUUGAAGUAUGUGUUCCACCGGCUGUCAGGGUUGGGGUUGAGUGGCUGUGGGGAGAAAUGAAGAUGCUCUGUCGGAGGCCCAGAUAGGCGCCUGGGCCCGAUUUUAUCCCAGAAACCUGAACAGUGGCCUUGCUGCAACAACCCCACCACACACUGAGAUGUGGCCCUGACACCACCUGCAAGCUACUCAGAGGAGCCAACACAGCCCUUCCCACAGCCUCCUGAAUCCGUUUGAACUCCACAGCCAGAAGCCCAGCCUGGCAGCCUCCUCUGAGUACAUCUCUGCUGGGCAGGGACUCUGUUCCUUUUCUGUCCAUUGCUGUAGCUCGAGAACUUUGCAUGUAACAGUUGCUCAGUAAAUGUUUGCUUGCUGAAUGAAUGAA